AAAAAUUAAAAAAGCGUUACUUACUUCCUUCUCUUUUCACAAACCCUCCCUCUCUUAUGCGACAACAAACCCUAAAGGUACUUUCUUCUUCCUUUCUCUCCCGCUGACGACGAAGCACAGUCUCACCAUAUCUGACCUAAACACAAACGAAACCGCCACGGCUACUUCAGUAUCAGAUUUUCUCCACCGCCGCUUUAAUCUCAGAUUUCCCAAGGAGAGGUCACUUUUCAUUUCGAUUUUGGUUUCUCCUCAUUAUUCAAUGGAUUCUCAUUCUAAUUUCCCCUUUUGUUUCGCUUCAUUGUGCGCUCAGAGUUUUCAAGGGUCCUCUUCGCCGUUGUCGCCAUCUUCGCAUUCAGUCGUUGUUAGCUUUCUCAUCAUCUUCAUCUAUCGACACUUCUUAACCUAUAGGAUGGCUCUGUUACAAAUGCAUGGUUGAAUAAUGACGAAGUCAGAAAAGCAAUUCACACGGUAGAGAAAAGUGUAGUCAAUAGUUGGGAUUUAUGCACAAAAUUUCCUUCGAUCAUGACGCCGGAAGCACGAUAAAGUACCACAAGAACCUAACUUCCAGAGGAUAUUGAGCUCUUAUAUUCAUGAGAAACAAAAGAGGGGAUAAUUGGUUCAGGCUUGUAAUAAAUACCUACACCACCAAAACACUUUGAGAAGUGCAUAAUAAGGGGCCAAAAAACGUCAUCAGGAGAGUACACAUCAAAAGAAACACCCCUUGUUGCCGAUAAAAUUUCAGGACCUGGUUUUGUGUUUCUGUGCACUGGGUGUGGCUGUGUGGUUAGGCUCUUUGUUGGUUUUUUGGAGUAUGGAUGUGUGGCUAGGCUCUCAUAGUCUCAUGUAGAUUGAUGAUCCAUGUCCUACAUCUUUGUUGAAAACCAAUCUUCCAUUUUAACUAAGCCGAUUAAACUAAAAUUUUAACUAACGCGGUGUUUGUUGAUAAUCAAAUGGAUAUGAAGUGGAUCAUUAGCCAACUAAUAUUAAUUGAUAUAUUAUUUCAUGUAAUUGGGUUUGAAUUUGUGUGGAUGUGUUGAUUAUUUCAAUUGAGUAUUAUUGAAAUUCCUGACAGCUUUGCGAUAUUGUUUGUUGUCAUUUCUAGGCUUUAUUUUCUCUAAGUUGUCAAUUUUAUUAUGCUUCUAUGUUGAGCUGAGUUUAUCUUCUUCU